GUUUUUUUAAUCCCUAAUGGUGUAUCAGCAUUGGCUGAAAAAUCCAGUAUGGGUUGGGCUCCACUUUAAAUUCUUAAAUAUAUUUAUUCUAAAUAUCAAACAUUUUAAAUAAGAAUUAUUCUAACUUGUAAAAUGGCUAGGAGACAAACCCCAUGUCUUAAUUGCUUUACAACACAAACGUGAAGUAUCUAGAUUUUUAAUUCCCCUGUUUUUAAUUAAUUAAUUAAUUAAUUAAUUAAUUAAUAAUUUCGCACAGACCCCACAGUAAACAGUGUACUGUGCAUGAACAAUUUGUUGAUGUGCUGCAUCUUUCGCCGUCCGCGAUGCAUCGCCGUACGUAUCUUAUUUUGAAAGACAUUGCCGGAAAUAAUUAGCUUUUUCUGGCUAUUUUAGCAUUUGUGCUACUUCUGCUUUAACAAGCUCACGGGCAUCGACGCCAUCUCGCUGAAAGGGACGUCCAUCUAUCUUUUAACAGCAGAAAAAAUUGAAACCACUCAAGUUUACCCCCAGGAACCUCUGAGACGACUAUUACACGUUAUACUCGUUAAGUGAUAUUUUCUGCGACUUGGAUAAAAGACCCGUUUUAUCGAAGAAGAAGAAGCGCAGUUAGCUAACUGCUAGCUUGUGACGUUGUUAGCUAAAGCAACUUCGCUGCAGAGGAAUUUCACAGUUUGUUUAUGUUUUCGCCAGUUCAGAGCAAUGUUGGACGGAUCUCCGGCACACAGCGAUGAAGCCAACAUCGGCAACGUCGAAAACAACAACCCGAUAUCGCUGAUUUCGAGCAGCGAUGGGGUGAACAAGACGAGGCAAGCGCUGCUGAAGAAAGGAGGCAGGAAGCUGCGGUCGACGGCGCCGCUGCAUCACCAGAAACCCUCGAGAAGCAGCCCCAACAUCCGCCUCGCCGACCACAACAACAACAACACUCUGACAGCUGCGUCUGCCAACAAACCCUCAGCUCAGCCCGGUGCCGAGCUCCCUGCCGGGACACAGACAGUACUGACCCUCCAUCAUCUCAAACAGGGAGCCAAGAAAGAGAUGCAUCAUGAUGGAGGCAGACAUGACAGCGCGGCGAACUAUGAAAACAUCGGAGGAGCAUCGAGUCUCCGCUGCUGUUAA
rnacentral:lncRNA from 1 species